AUUGAACGCUGGCGGCAGGCCUAACACAUGCAAGUCGAACGGUAACAGGAAGAAGCUUGCUUCUUUGCUGACGAGUGGCGGACGGGUGAGUAAUGUCUGGGAAACUGCCUGAUGGAGGGGGAUAACUACUGGAAACGGUAGCUAAUACCGCAUAACGUCGCAAGACCAAAGAGGGGGACCUUCGGGCCUCUUGCCAUCGGAUGUGCCCAGAUGGGAUUAGCUAGUAGGUGGGGUAACGGCUCACCUAGGCGACGAUCCCUAGCUGGUCUGAGAGGAUGACCAGCCACACUGGAACUGAGACACGGUCCAGACUCCUGCGGGAGGCAGCAGUGGGGAAUAUUGCACGAUGGGCGCAAGCCUGAUGCAGCCAUGCCGCGUGUAUGAAGAAGGCCUUCGGGUUGUAAAGUACUUUCAGCGGGGAGGAAGGGAGUAAAGUUAAUACCUUUGCUCAUUGACGUUACCCGCAGAAGAAGCACCGGCUAACUCCGUG
rnacentral:rRNA from 1 species